GUGGCGAGGAAAGUGAGCAGCUCUUUGCAGAGCGAACCGGCGCUGCCGAGUCUUCCUUGGCACAGGUCUCAUGUAGCGAAAUCUGGACGGAGGGUGGAAAGAGGGCUGGGCAAGAUGGGGAAUGGGCGGAAAGUGAGAAGGAAAAGCUACAAGAAUAAAACACCCGGUCGCCAACCCCACCUCAGCUGGGCUUUAGCGGUGCACUGCAGGCAGUUGGAUUUUCGCAGGCAGGCUACGCAAAAAGGGCGCAAAGAGCCCUCUCUCGGGCGGGAAGUUGCCACUUGGCUACUCUUCGCAUCUCCGGGCCUGAAGCCCAAGGUUUCUUCCGCCAGAGGAUGAGGGAAUCCGAAGGAGCCAAAUGGCGGCCUUGGCGAGGGAGCAGGAGCUAUGGACGGUGGGGGAAGAAAGAAGGAAAACCAGUGCGCGCCAUAUGCCCGUCUGUUACUGCGUACGGAAGCAAAACUACGUAACCCUAGGCUUGACAACAGCACAGAACUCGUCAAGCCAAGGGCCAGAGCACGAGAAAGGAAGCCCUGAAAUCGGGUUGGGUGCUGCCCCACACCAGCGAUUAGGGCUGGUGCAGGAGGUGGUGGAGGGGAGUGUUUGUCUGCCCUGUUCUGUACACUGCAGGGCUAUGAGUUUAUGGGGCUAUUCAAAGGUACUCUUUCCAAUGGCUUAGAAGAAAGCCAGCGAACGAGCGAUAAGCUAGAGCGCGGCGGCGGCGCCUGGACUACGAGGCAAUCAGUCUCUGGGACUGUGACACGAAAAGAUGGCGCUGACUCACUUCCCCUCCCCCUUCCCCUCCAGCAGCCUCCUUCGCUCACGGCUUCCUCUUCCUCCCCAGCAGCUUCGCCAGGCCUGUUUCAAGGCUCCCCCUUUUGCAGCCGGACACCAUUAUUAGCUCGAGGUCCUGGGUCCGCGCAGCACCUAAAGGAUGACCUAUGUUGGCCAAUGGUUUGCCUGAUGAUGCUGAUUCCUUUUCUAAGGGGCUUGCUUUGACUUCCUCCUCAGAAAGGAUGCCUGCCAUGUCCUAAUUGAGCCUGCUUGCUGACACUCUUGCAGCUUAAAACACCUUGAUAGCACUGUUAAAAACUUCUCAGUAUCUCAUCUGGUGGAUAUCCUUAAUUUGAAAUGGUAAACUUCAGAUCCUAAAUCAGCUAUUGGGAGAAAGACAUACUGAAAUAAAUGUAAUCAGGUACAAUAGAUAAGUAAAUAGAGAUCUAAGUUCUGCAUUUAUGUCCUGUGAAAAGUUAUACAGAAAGAUGUUGUAAGAACAACCUGAAAUUUAAUGGAUACUUUUGCUUCAAUCCUUGAAAAAAGUACACUGAAUUACAAAAUCUCACCAAGAUAUUACAAAAUAGUCAAUUUGUGUGGGCUAUUUUCCUUGAUUGUUAGCUUGGAAUUGCAUGUCACAAUAUUUUUCAAAAGAACAAAUAUCUACACUUCGUAGAAAUAAUUACCACAUAGUUAUUCAUUGGUAAAUACAAUGAUUUCUUAAUUUACUUGAAUAUUGAACAACUUUCACAUGAGAUUUUCUCAGAUUCCCCUCACAAGUAUGUAUCAAAGGCUGUGAUGUUAACUUUGGAAGAAAGGUGCUACUCCGUCUUCUACACCCAAAAUAAAUGCUCUUCAUUUAUAUUUAUCAUCUGCAUUCACACGCUAUGUUAAGCCAUAUGUUGGAUUCUUUCUUGGUUUGCCAUCUUCUCUAAAUCCAUUGAAAACCUUACUUAAUGCUAAGUGAAUUGUGUGAAUCUAGUUACUUGUGGCUCCUUUAAUUUACUUUGAUUAAAGAAACUAUGGUUUAUUAUGAUAUGUGAACCCAUUCAUUUUCCACUAAUUUUUUCCUUCACGUGCUUGGGGAAGUGACUUUCUAGCCAUCUUUAUAACUUCUUGAUUUGCUAAAAAAUAAAUGUGAAUUGAGUUUCCAGAAUUUUAAUUAUUGUGCUAGAAAUUAUGUUGUUUCUAAGUGUUAGGAAGCAGAUAUUUCCAUUUCAGACAAUUUACUAUUAUUUAAGAUAUAACACAGAGGUGGCAUACCUGUCAGCCCAAAGCUCUUUUUGCAAUUAUUUUGAGGCAAAAGUUAGCCUGAACAUAUACAAUAUGUUUAUUAAAAGACAAAAGGUCCAAAGUACUCCUAAGCUCUUAAAAAUACUAUUUUUGUUAAAA